rnacentral:tRNA from 1 species
UGGGCUUGUAGCUCAGUUGUCUAGAGCGUUAUAUUCGCAUUGUAGAGGUCCCCAGUUCGACUCUGGGCAGACCCACCCA